rnacentral:tRNA from 1 species
GGGCGAGUGGCUCAGUUGGAUAGAGCGACGGCCUCCGGAGCCGUAGGUCGCAGGUUCGAAUCCUGUCUCGCCCA